ACUCAAAAAGUAGUAUAUAAAUUACAAUUCGCUUACACCGAAUAAAAGGCAUCUACACCCUUUUUGAGUA
rnacentral:tRNA from 1 species